rnacentral:tRNA from 2 species
GCCGGGAUGGCGGAAUUGGCAGACGCGCUAGGUUCAGGGUCUAGUGUGCGUGCGCACGUGGGGGUUCGAGUCCCCCUCCCGGCACCA